CUUCCUUCUUGUCAUCCACUAGCAUUUAAAAGACUUCUGGGGGAGAUACAGUGAACUGAAGACGGCUAGGCGAAAGCAGAGCCAAUCACCAUUGCAAAAUACAAAGAUUCCUAUAUACUCCAGACUGCCUACAUGUGCUCCAGAUGCUUUCUAUGAGGAGACCACAGGAUUUACAAAAGAGUCUUGUUAAAGCCUUGAAGAAUAUUUGAAUGAACUAAAUAUUAGAGAUCGUUAGAAGGAAAG